rnacentral:rRNA from 1 species
AUGACCCCAAUUUAUGAGGCCUCACAAUCAAAAGAAAGAAUUGUAGAUGCCUUUCCGGCUACAGUUCUUUCUUUCUUUUGCGGGAAGGCAUCUGCAGUUCUUAACCGGCAAGUAGUGCAGUGCCAGAUACGAGCUGGAGUUACGUCUUGGAACGGGCAAGAAAUAGCCCUGUCACGCUUAGUAAUCUUCAAUCCUCUAUUCUCUCCUGAAAAAAUAAAAAUGAUCAUCCAUUGGUUUGUCAGCCUUCCCAACGGGCCGUCUUUGCUAGUGGACAUGAUCAUGGACUACUUCAAGUACGACUAUGAGUUCGCAGAGCCACCACUACCUGAAGUCCGACAAGUACGACAACAUCGUCGACCCUUGCCUGCAGCUCAACAAGGUGGUGCGAGAGAUCUCCUACUCCGGGAGUGG